ACACACAAGCCUCCUCUCUUCUCUCCCCCCGGCUCGCCGCCACCGCCGCCACCACUCAUGACGGCCGAUUCCGGCGAGUACCAGCGGCGGGUGGCAGAUCAACGACCUCCCCACGCCCCGCUCCUUCCUCCCAUCCCUCCUGAUCCGACGAGGGCGGAGGUGGCGCCUCGUCCGACUCCUCCUCCCCGUCCUCAUCCUCCUCAUUCUCUGCCGCCACCGCCUCCUCCUCCAGCGCCCCUCCAGCGGCCGCAGCAACAGCCCCGACGGCGGCGGCGGGGAGUACAACUUGUUCGGCGUCGUGCCCGUCAGGCCGGCCGCCGGGUACGGGGACGAGGAGGAAGAGGACGCGAGAGAUUUGUUCGGCUCCGACAACGAGGAGUACUUCAAGACCCCCCGCGUAGCAACUACCUAAUUCCAGCGCGAGAUGCGACAACUCAUCUGGCCGGAGGAGAACAUGGCAGCGGAAUCUCCUGGUGACGGCGGUGGGGCAGGCAAUGCUUCAAGGCGACGGGCUGAGGCGGCGGUGCAGGGAUCCGCUCGGUCUGUUGUUGUUGCUGAGGGCGGAUGGAGCAGCCGGGGCAGGUUCGUCCGUGAUGCCAAGUUUAUUUUUAGAAGGGAUUUGAGAUGGCGCCCGACAUUAUAGUAAGUACAAGACUGUUGCUGAAUGAUUGGUGUGUGCAACCAGACCUCCGUCCACUUGUUUCAUCGUUUGAACAUUCACCGGUUCUUGAGAAUCUGACGCUUCAAUUGCGUAAGGUACAACUAAGCCUAACUCAUCUGGUUCUUGAACCUCUCCACCAACUUCUUUCAAGGGGAGAUCCUGAAUGUCGGCAUCCUUGGACCUUCGAAAGCAGUUGUAAGCUUAACUCUAGCCUCAUCUCAUUCCACCUUGUGUGUCCUUUAUGAUCUCAGCAGAUGUUAUAAAUAUGAAUGAUUGGUAUCUAUUAGCUUGUACCACAAGUCCACAACUGUAUUGGCUUGUACCACAAGUCCACAACUGUACUGGAUCAGAUUGUGCUCUGGUGCAUUUCAAAUGAUGCAGGUAUGUCGAAAAUCUGGAGCUUUGCAGGCUGCCCAUCCAUAAGGGUUGCCGUGGAAUCCUCGGGUUCCCUCCAGUGCUGCCGCAGAAAAUGAUCUUAUGCUAGAUUGAUUGUUCAAGUAUUUGAUUACUGAUAGGAACAGUCAGCUUAUUUUAUUUUGUAAAAAGACAGGAACAAUAUCCAGUACGAUUGACUUCUUCUGUAACAGCUUCAUUGAGGAGCUCAAAGGUCGUGACUGUGACUGUUCUUAGGCCAAUACUUUCAUUUGUUGUUAGGUCAACACUACAUACAACAGCUCUAUCCAGCAAAUUUUCUUUUGAUUUUGCUUUGUUCUAUUGAUCAGAUUUUCCAAGUCAUUUUUCCUUCGAGGUAUUUAGCAUUGCCAAAUUUAUAUAUUUACCUAAAUUUAAUCUUGACUCGAUUUGCUGUGGUCAAUACAAGCAUGAUGCCUUUUCUUUUCUAUAAAGUGGAUGCAGGGUUAGUUUACUAUGCUGAUCCGAGCGAGCGUCAGGCGCGCAAAGCUCACCGUCCACAUGCCUCCUCUUCGUCUGCAUCCGCAGUGCCAAAUCGCUCCCCAUCCGAGCAGGAACAAAUGUUUACAGAUCACACGACUACUCCACAAUCUAAAACACACUGAGUAUUUUGAAGUUGGUUGUUCAAGCAGACACAAUGUGCACUGACAAAAGAUGGCAGGAACAAUGGUACACAGUCAUGAUAUAAUAACGUUGUAGAUAGAUGGAGACUGAAUUAGUUCACAUUACUUUGAUGUCUAUUGAGCCAAUGGAACAACAAAGUCCUUGCAGAAAAUAAGAACCGGAAGCAGGUUUUCUAUCUUCACCAGUAUUUCCUUGUUUCUAAUUGUUGGCUUUUUCCUAUGGCCUAAGUUCAACGAACUGCUCUGAAAGGGGAUGUUGAGGGUGACGACGCCGCCGAGCAAGUCGGCGUCUGUAAAGCUUUGCCGGAGCCAUUCCAGCUCUUUCAGAGCCACAAGGUGAGCCGGAAGUCCGUGCAAGGAAGCCGAGGAACUAGGACGCCAACAGUGCGGAGCUGUUUGCCAUCGAGAGGACUAGGACUGCCAUCAGGGACCUCUAAACCAAGCUCAACAUCUCCCUCGCGCCAACAUCCACACCGUGUCCUGGACGGUCGUCGCCGUCUGUGACGGCGAGCUACUGCCGCCGCAUCGUCAGUGCGGAGCCGUUUGCCAUCGAGAGGACUAGGGCUGCCAUCAGGGACCUCUAAACCAAGCUCAACAUCUCCCUCGCGCCAACAUCCACACCAUGUCCCGGAGGUUCGUCGCCGUCUGUGACGGCGAGCUACUGCCGCCGCAUCGUCAGCCGCACGGUUAGAGGGAGGUAUCGCUGCCAGGGCCGACAUGCGUGUAAUUUCUAUUAAUGUAUCUUAUGUUGCCAAACAGAAACAUGCUCCUAUCGAUGCUAUAUCGUUGUGGGCGUGGCAUUUCAGUUUCUUCCUCAGACGAUGUUCCAAUAUAAUAAGUUCCAUCAAGAAUUGCAUGUACAUGUCCUGCUAUCUUGAUCCAAAAAGGAAAAUAAA